rnacentral:rRNA from 1 species
CGGAAAUGCGCGUGCUAUACAUGCAGUCGAGCGGACCGACGGGAGCUUGCUCCCUUAGGUCAGCGGCGGACGGGUGAGUAACACGUGGGUAACCUGCCUGUAAGACUGGGAUAACUCCGGGAAACCGGGGCUAAUACCGGAUGCUUGAUUGAACCGCAUGGUUCAAUCAUAAAAGGUGGCUUUUAGCUACCACUUGCAGAUGGACCCGCGGCGCAUUAGCUAGUUGGUGAGGUAACGGCUCACCAAGGCGACGAUGCGUAGCCGACCUGAGAGGGUGAUCGGCCACACUGGGACUGAGACACGGCCCAGACUCCUACGGGAGGCAGCAGUAGGGAAUCUUCCGCAAUGGACGAAAGUCUGACGGAGCAACGCCGCGUGAGUGAUGAAGGUUUUCGGAUCGUAAAACUCUGUUGUUAGGGAAGAACAAGUACCGUUCGAAUAGGGCGGUACCUUGACGGUACCUAACCAGAAAGCCACGGCUAACUACGUGCCAGCAGCCGCGGUAAUACGUAGGUGGCAAGCGUUGUCCGGAAUUAUUGGGCGUAAAGCGCGCGCAGGCGGUUUCUUAAGUCUGAUGUGAAAGCCCCCGGCUCACCCGGGGAGGGUCAUUGGAAACUGGGGAACUUGAGUGCAGAAGAAGAGAGUGGAAUUCCACGUGUAGCGGUGAAAUGCGUAGAGAUGUGGAGGAACACCAGUGGCGAAGGCGACUCUCUGGUCUGUAACUGACGCUGAGGCGCGAAAGCGUGGGGAGCGAACAGGUAAACCCCCCCGGGGAAAAAAAAAGCGCGGGCCCCCCCCCC